rnacentral:rRNA from 1 species
AACGAACGCUGGCGGCAGGCUUAACACAUGCAAGUCGAACGGGCGUAGCAAUACGUCAGUGGCAGACGGGUGAGUAACACGUGGGAACCUUCCUCGUUGUACGGAACAACUCAGGGAAACUUGAGCUAAUACCGUAUACGUCCGAGAGGAGAAAGAUUUAUCGCAAUGAGACGGGCCCGCGUCGGAUUAGGUAGUUGGUGGGGUAACGGCCUACCAAGCCGACGAUCCGUAGCUGAUCUGAGAGGAUGAUCAGCCACACUGGGACUGAGACACGGCCCAGACUGCUACGGGAGGCAGCAGUGGGGAAUCUUGGACAAUGGGCGCAAGCCUGAUCCAGCCAUGCCGCGUGAGUGAAGAAGGCCUUAGGGUUGUAAAGCUCUUUUACCAGGGACGAUAAUGACGGUACCUGGAGAAUAAGCCCCGGCAAACUUCGUGCCAGCCGCCGCAGUAACAC